rnacentral:sRNA from 1 species
CAUGCAGUGCCUUUGUGCGUGUUGGGAGAGCUACCUCCUCUGGAAGGACUAAAUGAGAAAGGAAGUUUAAAAAAGAAAGAAAGAAAAGUUACUCCCUCUAGUUUGACAGAUCAAAGAGAGGAGCCCCUUCUCGGCUGACCAGAUGGGAAAAUGCACCCCCUCAGGCAGGUGGCCAAUUAGAAAAAUGUGUCCUUCUGGCAGCUGCAACCCUGGGUUAAUAUGUGAGACUUGGCAAGCGAGAGCCUGGGCAGGAUCUCAGAUCCACUCCCACUCCCGGGAUCUGGCAUCCAAGUGUCUGACACAGCCGUAUGUGGCAGUGGGUGCAGGACCCUGCCUGGGGUGCUGACCCCACUGGACCGUCCUCCUAGUUCCAGGAGCUAGUGCUGCCCCGCUUUGGGAAGGAAGAUGCUGGGGAUGUACAGCAGUUCUACGACCUGCUCUCCGGUUCUCUGGAGGUCAUCCGCAAGUGGGCGGAGAAGAUCCCUGGCUUUGCUGAGCUGUCACCAGCUGACCAGGACCUGUUGCUGGAGUCGGCCUUCCUGGAGCUCUUCAUCCUCCGCCUGGCAUACAGGUCUAAGCCAGGCGAGGGCAAGCUCAUCUUCUGCUCAGGCCUGGUGCUACACCGGCUGCAGUGUGCCCGUGGCUUCGGCGACUGGAUUGACAGCAUCCUGGCCUUCUCAAGGUCCCUGCA